GUAAGUGAAACUGAUUUUUACAACAGAACUGUGAUUGCCAGGCUGUGUCGGCACAUGAUUUUCUCCACCGAAAUACCACCAGGGACAUCUCAGUACUUCUCCACUUGAUUUGUAAGUCCUGCUGCUUUCUAAAUCUUACCAGAAUGUCCUUUAGAAAAAUGGUUUCCAUUUCAAGUUCCAGUGACAGGAAAUAAGGGGUAAAGAGGAAAAGGUACACCUUUGGGACUGGCCGAAGAAUUGCUUCUACAUUCAGUGACUAGGAAAUCUAAAAUGCUGAGGUACAUAUUAACCUGUUGCAAAUGGAAACUUGGAAACUUCUACAUCAGCUGGCCAUUCAAAUAACACUCUUGGCAAUUCAGAAAAACUAGUAAGGUCCCUGUUCUACAGAUGAAGAAUUAAAGAGAAAUAAGGCUGUGUUUUGUCUGAGGCUACACCAAUUUUGUGAAUAAAAUAAGGAAUGAUUACUGGAC